rnacentral:rRNA from 1 species
ACUCAAAGGAAUUGACGGGGGCCCGCACAAGCGGUGGAGCAUGUGGUUUAAUUCGACGCAACGCGAAGAACCUUACCUGGGCUCGAAAUGUACAGGAAUCACUUAGAAAUAGGUGCGCCCAGCAAUGGGCCUGUAUAUAGGUGCUGCAUGGCUGUCGUCAGCUCGUGUCGUGAGAUGUUGGGUUAAGUCCCGCAACGAGCGCAACCCUUAUCUCCAGUUGCUACCAUUUAGUUGAGCACUCUGGCGAAACCGCCUCGGAUAACGGGGAGGAAGGUGGGGAUGACGUCAAGUCCUCAUGGCCUUUAUGUCCAGGGCUACACACGUGCUACAAUGGCCGGUACAAACCGCUGCGAACCCGCGAGGGGGAGCCAAUCGGAAAAAGCCGGCCUCAGUUCGGAUUGGAGUCUGCAACUCGACUCCAUGAAGCUGGAAUCGCUAGUAAUCGCAGAUCAGAAUGCUGCGGUGAAUACGUUCCCGGGCCUUGUACACACCGCCCGUCACAUCACGAAAGUGGGUUGCACUAGAAGUCGGUGCGCUAACCGCAAGGGAGCAGCCGCCCAAGGUGUAAUUCAUGAUUGGGGUGAAGUCGUAACAAGGUAACC